rnacentral:rRNA from 1 species
AUGAAGGGCGCUGACCUGAUAAACGUGGCCCUUCCGGAGGAGCUCCUGGAGGACGUGCUCCGACGUGUCGGCGACGAAAAGCGCGACCUGGACUCCUGCGCCCUCGUCUGCCGCCGCUGGCGCCGCCUCGACCGCGCCACGCGCAGGUCCGCCAAGCUCCCAGCAUCCGGGGUUCACGCGGACGAGGUGGUAGGCCUCUUCGUGGAACGGUUCCCGGCGCUCGCAGACGUGUCCAUUGACGAGCGCCUCUCUGCCGACGCCGCCGUGGUCUCCGCUCCUGCGUCUAGAUCGCGCCGCCACGUGAUUAGUAGUAUCCCAUCUGGUAGCCGUAGGAGGAUGUCCCGGGUACCACGUUUUGCAGGGAUUUUAUUCCCAUUGCCAUCGGAACAGACACCCAGCGGUGAUGGGAUAGAGAGCUUUUGUUUGACUGAUGUUGGCUUAACUAGUCUCGCCAGAGGCUGCAAAGGGCUGGAAAAACUAAGUCUAGUAUGGUGUUCUGCCAUAUCUUCAAUAGGCUUAGUGAGAGUAGCAGAGAACUGUAAGAAAUUGGCUUCUUUGGAUAUCCAGGUAAUGCCGUGCUACUUGUUCUGCACCUUUUGCUUUGUUAUUGACUUCAUGACCUUUGUGUUUUACCAUGUGUGGUCGUAG